CUCAUUCAUCUUUCGUUCUCGCUGAAUCGCAUAUUAUUGUAUUGGUAUAUAAAAAAAAAUUUUUUUUUUUUUUUCGUUCAUCGUAACCACUUUUAUGCCAUAUAUUAUUGCGUAGUGUCAUUAUCAGUCGUCAUUAUAAAACUAACGUUUACGCGAUGUCGUUAAAAUUAAAUUGUUUUUUUUUUUUUUUUUAUUAGAAUUCGGUUUAGCUUAAUAGGUAAUUUAAUGAUACUAUCGGUAAGAUUAAAAACACUGACGAGCGACCGCGAAAACGUGGACAACGCGUUCGUUUUAAUUUCAACCGUCUAUUAUACACGUCAUAGCGUGUGAGUUUUAGUUCCGUAAGAGAUUUAGAUGUUAUUAAACCGGGUAUGUUUUACAGUGUUUACACGACGCGAACGAGUUUCGGUUUUAAGACGAUUUAAUUUCAGUCCGCGCUUUAACGCCGUAGCACAAUGUAUAUGCGGCGGAGUAACACUAACCGAGCUCUGAUAAUGUCGUCAACACUUUUCGCGUAACGACCGUCGAUAAACCUCCAAUACAUAAUAUCUGUGCAAAACGCGUGAUAUCAUGUACACGAAACAUAAGUGACGGGACGCGUCGGUUCGUGUGAAUUUUCUGACGCCGGGCCAAAUUUC